rnacentral:lncRNA from 1 species
AGGGGGCGGAGCUGAGGUUAGUGGCGGCGGAGGGAUCAUCCCGGGGCGGGGGGGCCGGUUCCUGCCGCCUGGGCCUGGAGUGAGGCCUGGGCCUGGAGUGGGGCCUAGGCCCGGAGUGAGGCCUGGGCCUAGAGUGGGGCCUGGGCCUGGAGUGAGGGCCUAGGCCCGGAGUGAGGCCUAGGCCUGGGCCUGGAGUGAGGACUAGGCCCGGAGCGAGGCCUAGGCCUGGGCCUAGAGUGGAGCCUGGGCCUGGAGUGAACCCUAGGCCCGUUCUUGAGGCGACGGGUCGGUUCUCGCUGAGCUCCCCCUCUCCUCCGCCCCCCCGGUGCCCCUCCUAGCCGUGGGGCUCACCAGAGAAGCCCUUUGCCAUCCCUGCCACCGGGUCCCCCACCGGGCCCAGUGGGUGCGUUGCUGGAGAAAGGCCUGUCCCGCCAUCACGUACCCCGGGGCUGCUCCUCGGCCACACGACGCCCUGGAUCCGGCUCAUUUUUGCCUCCCUAUCCGGCCCGGGCAGUGACCUGGCAGCUUCACCAAGAUGCCUCUUCACGGCGCGAGAGCCGCUGCUCUCCUGGCUUGGGUGAACAGCACCAAAGUUUGUAGCGAUGCCCUCACUGAUCUGUCCCAGCUCCAGGACUGCAAGGUCUUCGUCAGGAUCAUCAAUAAAAUGUGAGUAGGGGGAGGGACCUUGAGGAAU